rnacentral:rRNA from 1 species
CUACCAAGGCGACGAUCUUUAGACUGGUCUGAGAGGAUGAUCAGCCACACUGGGACUGAGACACGGCCCAGACUCCUACGGGAGGCAGCAGUGGGGAAUAUAUGGACAAUGGGCGCAAGCCUGAUCCAGCCAUGCCGCGUGAGUGAUGAAGGCCUUAGGGUUGUAAAGCUCUUUCAGUGGGGACGAUAAUGACGGUACCCACAGAAGAAGCCCCGGCUAACUUCGUGCCAGCAGCCGCGGUAAUACGAAGGGGGCUAGCGUCGUGUCGGAUUUACUGGGCGUAAAGCGCACGUACGCGGAUCGUUAAGUCGGGGGUGAAAUACCUGGAGCUCAACUCCAGAACUGCCUUCGAUACUGGCGAUCUUGAGUCCGGAAGAGGUGAGUGGAACUCCUAGUGUAGUGGUGGAAUUCGUAGAUAUCAUGAAGAACACCAGUGGCGACGGCUGCUCACUGGUCCGGUACUGACGCUGAGGUGCGAAAGCGUGGGGAGCAAACACGAUUAGAUACCCUGCUAGUCCACGCAGUAGACUAUGAGAGCUAGCAGUUUGCAGAUCUAUCUCUCAGUGGCGCAGCUAACGCAUGAAGCUCUCGACUAGAGGAGUACGGUCGCAAGAUUCAUACUCGACGGGAGUUGACGGGGGGCUGUCAUCNAGCAGUUGGAGCAUUGUUCUUUUAUUUCGAAAGCCACCGCGNUAGAAUCCUUAACAAGCCCUUAGACCUUGGCAGGNCGAGUUGCUGAUGACUGAUUUCUUACACUUUCGGUGACCUGCAGACGGAGUCCGCAUUGCCUGUC